rnacentral:tRNA from 1 species
GCCGGAGUGGUGAAACUGGUAGACGCGCUGGACUCAAAAUCCAGUGGGCCGUGAGCCCGUGCGAGUUCGACUCUCGCCUCCGGCACCA